GUGCUCACUUCGGCAGCACAUAUACUAAAAUUAGAGUGAUACAGAGAAUAUUAGCAUGGUCCCUGUGCAAGGAUGACACAUAAAUUUGUAAAGUGGUCCAUAUUUUU